rnacentral:rRNA from 1 species
UACGUAGGGCGCGAGCGUUGUCCGGAAUUAUUGGGCGUAAAGAGCUCGUAGGCGGCCUGUUGCGUCCGCUGUGAAAUCCCGGGGCUCAACCCUGGGCGUGCAGUGGAUACGGGCAGGCUGGAGGCAGGCAGGGGAGAACGGAAUUCCCGGUGUAGCGGUGAAAUGCGCAGAUAUCGGGAGGAACACCGGUGGCGAAAGCGCUCUACUGGACCGCAACUGACACUCAGGGACGAAAGCUAGGGGAGCGAAUGGG